rnacentral:misc_RNA from 1 species
AAGCAUUAUUCGUCGAGUGAAGUGAAUCAGUAUGAAUUAUCAUCAAGAUUAUUAUCGUUAACAGAAAAUAACAAAUCUUAUACACUUACCCAAAUAAAUGGUCAAAGAAUUUACAGAAAAGCACCCCAUGCUUGGAGCGGUCCUGAACCUUCAAGGAACUGCGAGGUUUUUAUCGGACGUAUCCCUCAUGAUUGUUUUGAAGACACUCUUGUUCCGUUAUUCCGGCAAGCAGGCGAACUGUUUGAAUUUCGCCUUAUGAUCAACUUCUCCGGGUGGAAUAGAGGGUAUGCAUUCGCGAUGUAUACUACGGAGGUGGAAGCGGCAAAUGCUAUACGCAUGUUCAACAAUUAUAUGAUCAGGCCCUCUUGGCAAUUAG